rnacentral:lncRNA from 1 species
GCACAGGCCCCCUCCUUCCCAAACGCCGUUUGCUUCUGUUUUAUAAAUAAAUUUUGCUUAUUUUUUUACUUCACCCCUUUCCUUUUUCUUUUUAAAAAAUUUACAGAGCCUACCUCCCCAUUUUUUCUUCUUUUCCUCUGCUAGGUUUUCAAAGCCUAGCUUGCGCUGAAAUAAAAAGAAGCAAAAUAGGUUUUCAAUCUUUCUCUGCUAGGGCAAAAGAGUUAGCCCAUCCUUCCAGCUGCUCUGUUGUGCGCACACCAAUGAUGGCGGCUGGAAAAAAAUCAAUGGUAAGGGUAUUCCCUCCCUUUUUCUUUUUGAUUUUCGAAUGUAAUAAUAAAAAGAAAAAAAAGAUGAAAACAGAAAUUGAAACCAAACUAAGAGCAAAAGAUAACCUUUUGAAAUUUUCAUUUUUGAUUGAUUUUAGUAUAUUUUUUGAAUCCCCCCCAUCUUUUUUACAUCCGUUUUUCAGUGGCUUUAUAGCCAAAAAAUAACAAUACAAUAUUAUUCCUCGUUACUGUUUAUGUCUAGGUUUUGCUCUCUGUAUGCUCUUGUCCUUGCUACUGUUCUAUCACUGUUUCAGCCUCUGUUAUGGCUGCUACUUUCGUUUCUUUUUUGCUCUCUUUGCAGGCUUUGAAGAAGGUGAUGGGAUGGAGCAGAGGAGUCAAGCCUCGGGACGAAGCGCGGGUGGUGCGCCCGAGGAGGAGCAGCGGCAACUCUUAGGCUAGGGUUUCUUUUUUUUCUUGCUGAAAGUUAAAGUUAUGGGCUUUUGGGCUAGGUUUAGUUUGGGUUUGGGUGAUUUUUAAUAUUGGGUUCAAUUUCAUCAAUUGGGCCGGGCAAAUUUGGGCCUGUACACUCGUAAUCUUCUCGAGCUCUGCUGGCUAGAAAAUUUACUAUUCCACUCCCUUUUAUCGCCUUCUAGUUCACAUAGACUAUAUCGAACUCAGAAAGUAGAAUUUGCCAUCGGGUCAUUCUUCCAUUCAAAACAAUUGACUCCAUCAUGUACUUUAGAGGGUCCAAUUUUGAAAUAAGCCAAGUUGUGUGGUACAACAUGUAUUGUCUCAGUCUACAGGUUGCCCAAAUUAAGGUGCAACACAACUUCUCAAUUGGUGAAUAUCUUACCUCACAUUCAAUGAACUUCUUACUGAAAUAGUAUAUCGCUUUUUGUUUUAUCAUUGAUUACAAACUCUAGCAAUUUCUCUGACUUAGCCCCGAAGGUACAUUUUGCUGGAUUGAGCUUUAGCUGAAAUUUUCUCAAACUUAAGAACAAUUUUCUCAGGACUUGUAUAUGCUCCUUUUCUAUUCGGGACUUUACAAUUAUAUCGUCUACAUAAACCUCGAUUUCCUUGUGCAUCAUAUCAUGAAACAAAGUUACCAUGGCUCUUUGAUAUGUCACUCCCACAAUUUUCAGUCUAAAUGGCAUAACUUUAUAGCAAAAUGUUCCCCACAUGGUUACAAUGUCGUCUUUUCCAUAUCUUUAGGAUGCAUCUUAAUCUGGUUGUAUCCGGAGAAACCAUCCAUGAAGGAGAACAGUGUGUAACAUGUCGUGUUGUCCACUAAGGUGUCGAUAUGAGGUAAUGAAAAAUUAUCUUUUGAGCUGGCUUUGUUUAAAUCCCUGUAGUCUAUGCACAUUCAUACUUUCCUAUAUUUUUUAGGGGAGGGGACAAUAUUGGCUACCCUUUUCUAAGUAUUUAACCACUUGUAAGAAACCAGUAUCAAAUUGCUUCUUGACCUCUUCUUUUAUUUUCAGCAAGACAUUAAGUCUCAUCCUUCGGAGCUUCUGUUGAACUGGCUUACAUUCUUCUUUUAUGGGGAGCCGAUGUACCACAAUAUCAGUACUUAGCCCGAGCAUGUCUUGAUAUGAUCAUGAGAAGAUAUCAUUGAAUUCUUGGAGUAACUCAAUGAGGUCCCACUUUGUCUCUACGGUUAUGCAAGUUUCAAUCUUCACCUCUUUUUCUUCUCCUAAGCUCACAAUUUCCACUGACUCUUUGUAAUGUAGGAUUUGUUUCUCAUCUUGUUCCACCAUCCUCAACAAAUCAGGAGAUAGUCUACAGUCUCGAUCAUCUUCAAAAGGAGAUCUGAGUCAGUAGUAG